GCCUGUCUGGCUUACUCAGUAGAGCAUCUGACUCUUGAUCUCUGGAUUGUGAGUUCAAGCCCCACGUUGGGCA
rnacentral:tRNA from 1 species